CUAACAAAUAAAUCAAAUAUGGUAACAAUCGAUUUGUAAAACACAACUUUCGACAUUAACCUCUUAGGCAUUAUGCGCCAUCUUAUAUUACGACGCGCUACUAUAAUAGCUCACUCUACUGACUUACACGCUCACCGUUUGAACUAAAUGAUCAUUUUCAUUUGUCUUGCUUCGCACUUCUUUUGCCCUCACAACGUUCUAUAACAGUGUUAACAGUGUUACAGACAGAAUAUAUAAUAUUCGUUUUUAAUACGUCAGUGUCAGAAUCUUCAACCUCAAAAUGUCUCUUCAAAAUAGGAUACGAAGAGCAAUUUGAAAAACUAUCGCUAACUCAGGAGUGUAAAAAUUGUGACGUGGGUCUAUGUGUUCAUGGCGAGUAAGGAACUAUGCUACGACCGUGAGUUGGACUUCUACUCAAGCUUCUAAUACUAAUAUCACUACUUCGACGAUUUAAAUCCAGUGGCUUGACUUGAACAAGUUCCGAAUUACGUCGAAAGGAAAUAUCUGAAUUUCUACGUAUCUCAGUUCGGGAAGUAAAACCGCUAACAUCAGAAUUACGUCUUGAACCUAAAAUAUAAAUGAAAUAUAAUUGAAAUAAAAGUUUAUUUAUACUAGAAUUGAUAA